UAAAUGGGUGAGAAGUCCGACUUGCACGAUCGAAGUCCGGACAUAGACGGAUGAGAGUGCCAAGUGGGCCACUUUUGGUAAGCAGAACUGGCGCUGUGGGAUGAACCAAACGCCGGGUUACGGCGCCCGAUGCGAGACGCUCAUGAGACCCCAUGAAAGGUGUUGGUUGCUCUAGACAGCAGGACGGUGGCCAUGGAAGUCGGAAUCCGCUAAGGAGUGUGUAACAACUCACCUGCCGAAGCAACUAGCCCUGAAAAUGGAUGGCGCUCCAGCGUCGAGCCCAUACCCGGCCGCUGCGGCAGAGCUUCUCUAGAUGGAGGUUUACGCCGCAGUGAGUAGGAGGGUCGCGUCGGAGAGCGUUGAAGGUGCCGGGCGCGAGCCCGCCUGGAGCCUCCGACGGUGCAGAUCUUGGUGGUAGUAGCAAAUACUCAAGUGAGAACCUUGAGGACUGAAGUUGGAGAAGGGUUCCAUGUGAACAGCAGUUGAACAUGGGUCAGUCGGUCCUAAGGGAUCGGAGAAAUCCGUUCCGAAGGGGGACGUUGUAUGAGAAAUAUGAGUCUGUCCCCCCACAAACCGAAAGGGAAUGGGGUCAAUAUUCCCCAACCCGGACACGGAGAUCGAGCCCUCGGGCUCAAGUGCGGCAACGCAACCGAACUCGGAGAUGCGGAUGGAGGACCCGGGGAAGAGUUGUCUUUUCUUUGUAAGGGUUCGUGUCCCUGGAAUCGGCUCGUCCGGAGAUAGGGAUGCUGUUCCCGUAAAAGCACCGCGGCUCUUGCGGUGUCCGGUGCGCUUCUGUCUGCCCUUGCAAAUCCGAGGGAGAGAGUGUGAUUUUCGUGCCGGACCGUACCCAUAUCCGCAGCAGGUCUCCAAGGUGAACAGCCUCUAGUCG
rnacentral:rRNA from 1 species